UCUUCUCGCUGACACACCGGGCUUGUGACCGGUUUCUCUCGGCUGCUUCUGCUCCCCCGGUCCAACAGUUUCUUCCGCUGCGGGCCUCGCCCUGCCUCGGCAUCGUUAGCCUCGGCCUCCGGACCGGCCCAACCCAACCCGCACUGUUACUCCCGCAUUGCCUACCCUCCCCAACUGGGGCCCGCUCUCAUUGCCCGGUCCUCUCCUACCUACCCCGCCCCGGGGAAGCUCUCGCUGGCUCCCCGGACCCCUUUGCUGAAGUUAUCCCAGGUUAUCCGCGGGUUGUGGCCGGGCCUGGCUCCUGAUACUCGGUGUGUCCGGUGGCGGUGCAGCCUGUCUCUCACCCCCGCGGUAUCCCGCUGGGGAUUUCGCCCCCUUAUCCCUGAGCUGAGCCCUGGCUCUGCCAUGCCGGGUCCGGCUACCGGGAGCAGGGCCCGCGUGUAUUCCGAGGUAAACAGCCUGAAACCCCGCGAGUACUGGGACUAUGAGUUACACGUUCCUGAGUGGGGUAACCAGGAUGAUUACCAGUUGGUGCGAAAACUUGGCCGUGGGAAAUACAGUGAAGUGUUUGAGGCUAUUAACAUAACAAACAAUGAGAAAACGGUUGUCAAAAUACUGAAGCCUGUGAAAAAGAAGAAAAUAAAACGCGAAAUCAAGAUACUGGAAAACCUCCGUGGGGGUCCCAACAUCAUCAAGCUGCUAGAUGUGGUAAAGGACCCUGUGUCGAGGACUCCGGCUCUUGUUUUUGAGCACAUUGAUAACACUGAUUUCAAGCAACUGUAUCAGAUCUUGGUGGAUUAUGACAUCCGGUUCUACAUGUAUGAAAUUCUCAAGGCCUUGGAUUACUGCCACAGCAUGGGUAUUAUGCACAGGGACGUGAAACCACAUAAUGUGAUGAUCGACCAUGCUCAGAGAAAGCUUCGGUUAAUUGAUUGGGGACUGGCUGAGUUUUACCACCCUGAGCAGGAGUACAAUGUUAGAGUGGCCUCCAGAUAUUUCAAAGGUCCUGAGCUGCUAGUUGACUACCAGAUGUAUGAUUACAGCCUGGACAUGUGGAGUUUGGGAUGUAUGUUGGCCAGCAUGAUAUUCCGUAAGGAGCCUUUCUUCCAUGGACAUGAUAACUAUGACCAGCUUGUUCGCAUUGCCAAGGUUUUAGGAACUGAUGAAUUGUUUGACUACCUCAAGAAAUACCACAUCGAACUGGAUCCUCGGUUUAAUGAUACUCUCGGACAACAUUCUCGGAAGCGUUGGGAGCAGUUCAUUCACAGUGAGAAUCGGCACCUGGUUAGUCCAGAGGCCUUGGAUUUGUUGGAUAAACUACUUCGUUAUGAUCAUCAGCAGAGACUCACUGCUAAGGAAGCAAUGGAACAUCCAUACUUCUAUCCAAUAUUGAAGGAGCAUUCGGAUGGUGCUCGGAGUAACAACUCGCAUGUGCCUGGUGUUUCUGCAGCUGUGCGGUGAAUCCUGCUGCUGUCUGCAUAGUUCAUUCUGCAAGAUGACAGAGUUACAGGAUUUACAGGGGAGACAUUGGGCAAAAGAGGAGCUAUCACAGUCUGGAAAUGUGAACUUGUGACUGCAACAACACAGAUUAUUUAACAACAAUCCCAGUUGGAAUAGAUUUGCUGCUUUUAAGAGGCUGCAGAAAAUCACUCAACAGUAACGGAACUUGACUGCUUGCAAAUCUCGUGUUGUCACUCUAAAGGUGGUGCCCUCAGAAGUAUUUUUGGGUUUUUUCAAAUUGUCUGAGCAAAUGAUUUUUUUCCCCUGAGCCCAUUUGCUACAAUGUAGUGCAUGAAGUAGAGCAAAAGUGUCUUUCAUUUUAACUGUGUACCAGUUGACUGAGUUGUUUUUGUGAGAUGAUGUGAUGUUUCAGUUUAUGGCAGCUGCAGUCCCAAAAUCCAAGUUAACAAAAUCAAUAAGAAAUGGGAUUCAUUGGCGUUUAUACACAAGUGUGUUUGGAUUAUACAAGUACUGUAACCUUUUUUAAUUCAGAAUAAAAAAAAUUACUGAGCAAAUGUAAAU